GCGCCGCUGGUGUAGUGGUAUCAUGCAAGAUUCCAAAUUUUGUGGCCCGGGUUCGAUUCGCGAGAGGCGCA
rnacentral:tRNA from 1 species